UGGAUAACCGUGACAAAUUACAGCUAAUACAUGCAGUCAGACCUGGUCCAAGGGUCGUAAUUAUUAGAUAUUAAACCUCUUCCUUCGGGAGUGUGAUGAAUCAUAGUAAUCGAACGAAUCGCAGUGUACUGCGAUAAAUCAUUCAAGUUUCUGCCCUAUCAGCUUUGGAUGGUAGUGUAUUGGACUACCAUGGCAGUCACGGGUAACGGAGAAUUAGGGUUCGAUUCCGGAGAGGGAGCCUGAGAAACGGCUACCACAUCUACGGAAGGCAGCAGGCGCGAAAAUUGCCCAAUCCUGACACAGGGAGGCAGUGACAAGAAAUAACUACCCCAGGAUUUCUUGGGAGUGUAAUGAGGAUAAUCUACAAACCUUACCGAAAGCAAUUGGAGGGCAAGUCUGGUGCCAGCAGCCGCGGUAAUUCCAGCUCCAAUAGCGUAUAUUAAAGUUGUUGCAGUUAAAAAGCUCGUAGUUGAAAUUCUGGUUGCUAGGACGACAAGUCCUCGGACGGUCGGGCCUACAGCCAUCCGCUUGUAAAUAUAUGUCCAUCCUUCACUGGGUGGCUAUAUGAGCAAGCAUUUUACCUUGAGAAAAACAGAGUGUUCCAGGCAGGUAUGUCCGGAAUGCAUUAGCAUGGAAUAAUAGAAUACGACUGAAGUCUAUUUAUUGGUUUAAGGCUACAGUAAUGAUUAAUAGGAACAGUCGGGGGCAUUAGUACUUGACAGUCAGAGGUGAAAUUCUUGGAUUUGUCAAAGACUAACUAAUGCGAAAGCAUUUGUCAAGGAUGUUUUCAUUAAUCAAGAACGAAAGUUAGGGGAUCAAAGACGAUCAGAUACCGUCCUAGUCUUAACUAUAAACCAUACCGACUCGGAUUCAGAUGAAUCGUAAAGUUCAUUUGGGACCGUAGGAGAAAUCAAAGUCUUUGGGUUCUGGGGGGAGUAUGGUCGCAAGGCUGAAACUUAAAGGAAUUGACGGUUUUGCACCACCAUGGAGUGGAGCCUGCGGCUUAAUUUGACUCAACACUGGGAAACUCAUCAGGGCAAGAAGAUUGUAGGAUUGACAGAUUGAGAGUUCUUUCUUGAUUGGUCUAGUGGUGGUGCAUGGCCGUUCUUAGUUGGUGGAGUGAUUUGUCUGGUUAAUUCCGUUAACGAACGAGACCUUAACCUGCUAACUAGUACUGUGAUUCCAAAUCGCAGUUACUUCUUAGAGGGACUAUGCGUGGUAAUCGCAUGGAAGUUUGAGGCAAUAACAGGUCUGUGAUGCCCUUAGAUGUCCUGAGCCGCACGCGUGCUACAAUGACACAUUCAACGAGUAUUUCCUGAUCCGAAAGGAUUUGGGCAAUCUUUUUAGGGUGUGUCGUGUUAGGGAUAGAUCUUUGUAAUUAUGGAUCUUGAACGAGGAAUUCCUAGUAAGCGCUAGUCAUCAGCUAGUGCUGAUUACGUCCCUGCAAAAUGUACACACCGCCC
rnacentral:rRNA from 1 species